rnacentral:rRNA from 1 species
UGCCAGCAGCCGCGGUAAUACAGGGGAUGCUAGCGUUAUCCGGAAUCAUUGGGCGUAAAGCGUGCGUAGGCGGUUUAUUAAGUCAGAUGUGAAAGCCCCGGGCUUAACCUGGGAACUGCAUUUGAAACUGGUAAACUAGAGUAUGGUAGAGGAAAGUGGAAUUUCUGGUGUAGCGGUGAAAUGCGUAGAUAUCAGAAGGAACAUCAAUGGCGAAGGCAGCUUUCUGGACCAAUACUGACGCUGAGGUACGAAAGCGUGGGUAGCAAACAGGAUUAGAUA